UUCAUGGGGAUCGCGAUCUCCCCAUGAGGCGACAGCCAAAGCUCGCGUUCCGUCACUGUUACACAAGGAACGCUUAUG
rfam:Pelagibacterium halotolerans B2, complete genome.